AAGGGCACCACAAGAACGCGUGGAGCAUGUGGCUUAAUUUGACUCAACGCGGGGAAACUUACCGGGUCCGGACACACUGAGGAUUGACAGGCGUUUACUUUUAUGUGUUUUUCUUCGCCACUUUACUUCGGUACUGUUGUGUUGAUGGGCACUUGAAGUAUAGCAAAUAUGCUAGUCCUUUCAUGAUUGUGUGAUAGGUGGUGCAUGGCCGUUCUUAGUUCGUGGAGUGAUCUGUCUGCUUAAUUGCGUUUCACAUUAAGAACUACAGAGUCCCGUCUGCGUUUGUGGUACGCCACGGACCAGACUUCUAUGUGGACUUCUAAUGUUCUGAAGGCAACGAACGUGACCGCAAUUUCUAGUUAACUUUCAAUUUGGUUUAGGGUUUCGGCUCUUUUCCAAUACAGUAAAGUUUAAACUAGAAAGACCGCUAGUAACUUUCAAACAGAGGAAGGUUGCGGCAAUAACAGGUCUGUGAUGCCCUUAGAUGUUCCGGGCUGCACACGUGCUACAAUGAUUGUUGCAAUAAGCAUCUCUCCCAUUGUAUGUCCCACACUUCACCUCUUUAUUGAGGAGUUGAGUGGAGACACCACAUUGCCUUUUGUCUUGCGAUGCGUCUUUUAACGCGCCUCCUUCGGGGGGAUGCUGUUUUGAGCUGUUGCUUGUGCGAAUUGUGCUUUGUGUCGGCCUACUUCGAAAGUGGUUAGGCAAUCACUUAGAAGUAACAACCCAGUUUCCCGCCACUAUACACACCUCUUGCUCCGCUCCCUUUCUUACGCUUGCGUAUGAUUGGGUUUACAUGUGGACUCGAUGGCGUUGCGCUCCAUAAAUUCGUUGUGGGGACAGACCAUUGCUAAUUGUUGGUCUCGGUCUCAACUAGGAAUGCCUUGUAGAUGUGGUUCAAC
rnacentral:rRNA from 1 species